CCCUAGCUGCUUGGCUGAACAGUAACAAGCCUUUCCCGUCUCAUGUGAACUUUAAGCUCAUUUCCAGGCAGGGCCUGUCCGUGAGGAUGCAGUAGGUACCGCGUAACUGCUCAGCGUGCGGAUGUUUUGCCGAGCGCUGGCCCGCACAGCUUGGUGAGAUCCAUCAUACUGAGGGGGACUUUGGGUGGUGGCACGUGGUAAGUAAAUGUAUUUGCUGCUAAGGGUCUCUGAAAGGCACGUAGCCUGGCGUGGGCGUACGGCGAGGUGACGGUUCUUUCUUCUCCAAAAGGUGAGGAAGAAGAAAUGGAUUGGAAUUGCAGCAAGCCCCAAGGUUGAGGAGAAAAGCAUGGAUCCUCAGACUGCAUCAACGGUGUGUGACAACCUUGGGACUGAGAAAUGGAGAAUUUCCUCCAACACCUUCCCCUAGCAACAGGACUGACAUUUCUGGGAGGUUAUGGUCCAAGUCUUUAUCUUUUUUCCUUCUCUAAUUGAAACACAGCUGAUACUCCUUCAAUCUCUGGGUAAGUAACUGUCUUAAAAUGUCUAGGAAUUACUUCAGUAUUCAAAAGAAGAAAAAUAAAA
rnacentral:lncRNA from 1 species